UGACUUGGUACUUUAAAAUAAAAGAUCUGAUUUGCAUUCAGGCAAUAAGUUAAUUAGACUUUCAGGUCAU
rnacentral:tRNA from 1 species